rnacentral:rRNA from 1 species
UAGGGAAUCUUCCGCAAUGGGCGAAAGCCUGACGGAGCAACGCCGCGUGAGUGAUGAAGGUCUUCGGAUCGUAAAACUCUGUUAUUAGGGAAGAACAAAUGUGUAAGUAACUAUGCACGUCUUGACGGUACCUAAUCAGAAAGCCACGGCUAACUACGUGCCAGCAGCCGCGGUAAUACGUAGGUGGCAAGCGUUAUCCGGAAUUAUUGGGCGUAAAGCGCGCGUAGGCGGUUUUUUAAGUCUGAUGUGAAAGCCCACGGCUCAACCGUGGAGGGUCAUUGGAAACUGGAAAACUUGAGUGCAGAAUAGGAAAGUGGAAUUCCAUGUGUAGCGGUGAAAUGCGCAGAGAUAUGGAGGAACACCAGUGGCGAAGGCGACUUUCUGGUCUGUAACUGAAGCUGAUGUGCGAAAGCGUGGGGAUCUAACAGG